rnacentral:rRNA from 1 species
UACAGAGGGUGCAAACGUUGUUCGGAUUUACUGGGCGUAAAGCGCGUGUAGGCUGCUUCGCAAGUCGGAUGUGAAAGCCCUGGGCUCAACCCAGGAAGUGCAUUCGAAACUGCAGAGCUGGAGUCCUGGAGAGGAAGGCGGAAUUCUCGGUGUAGAGGUGAAAUUCGUAGAUAUCGAGAGGAACACCGGUGGCGAAGGCGGCCUUCUGGACAGUGACUGACGUGAGACGCG